rnacentral:rRNA from 1 species
UUGACCUCGGAUCAGGCAGGGAUACCCGCUGAACUUAAGCAUAUCAAUAAGCGGAGGAAAAGAAACCAACAGGGAUUGCCUCAGUAACGGCGAGUGAAGCGGCAACAGCUCAAAUUUGAAAUCUGGCUCUUUUAGGGUCCGAGUUGUAAUUUGUAGAGGAUGCUUCGGCGUCGGCUCCGGUCUAAGUUCCUUGGAACAGGACGUCAUAGAGGGUGAGAAUCCCGUAUGUGAUCGGUUGCCCUUGCCAUGUGAAGCUCCUUCGACGAGUCGAGUUGUUUGGGAAUGCAGCUCUAAAUGGGAGGUAAAUUUCUUCUAAAGCUAAAUACUGGCCAGAGACCGAUAGCGC